AACCUUAUGGACCUGCGGGCGUAUACCUGCGGAGGGAUCAUUACUGUGAUUUACUACUACACUGCGUGAGCGGAACGAAAACAACAACACCUAAAAUGUGGAAUAUAGCAUAUAGUCGACAAGAGAAAUCUACGAAAAAACAAACAAAACUUUUAACAAUGGAUCU
rnacentral:misc_RNA from 1 species